AACGAUGUAUUUUAUUAAAGAAUAAUGAGUUUGCGUCUCGUAGGUGGAUUAUGUUUGUUUAAUCUCUUCGUUA
rnacentral:tRNA from 1 species